rnacentral:rRNA from 1 species
ACAAGUAGGGCGGGACACGUGAAAUCCUGUCUGAAGAUGGGGGGACCAUCCUCCAAGGCUAAAUACUCGUGAUCGACCGAUAGUGAACCAGUACCGUGAGGGAAAGGCGAAAAGAACCCCGGGAGGGGAGUGAAAUAGAUCCUGAAACCGCAUGCAUACAAACAGUCGGAGCCUCGUAAGGGGUGACGGCGUACCUUUUGUAUAAUGGGUCAGCGACUUACGUUCAGUAGCAAGCUUAACCGUAUAGGGCAGGCGUAGCGAAAGCGAGUCCGAAUAGGGCGUUCAGUUGCUGGGCGUAGACCCGAAACCAGGUGAUCUAUCCAUGGCCAGGAUGAAGGUGCGGUAACACGUACUGGAGGUCCGAACCCACUAACGUUGAAAAGUUAGGGGAUGAGCUGUGGAUAGGGGUGAAAGGCUAAACAAACCUGGAAAUAGCUGGUUCUCUCCGAAAACUAUUUAGGUAGUGCCUCGUGUCUCACCUUCGGGGGUAGAGCACUGUCAUGGUUGGGGGGUCUAUUGCAGAUUACCCCGCCAUAGCAAACUCCGAAUACCGAAGAGUGCAAUCACGGGAGACAGACAUCGGGUGCUAACGUCCGGUGUCAAGAGGGAAACAACCCAGACCGCCAGCUAAGGUCCCCAAAUAUAGCUAAGUGGGAAACGAAGUGGGAAGGCUAAAACAGUCAGGAGGUUGGCUUAGAAGCAGCCACCCUUUAAAGAAAGCGUAAUAGCUCACUGAUCGAGUCGUCCUGCGCGGAAGAUGUAACGGGGCUAAGCUA